UGGGGAAUUUUGGACAAUGGGCGAAAGCCUGAUCCAGCAAUGCCGCGUGUGUGAAGAAGGCCUUCGGGUUGUAAAGCACUUUUGUCCGGAAAGAAAUGGCUCUGGUUAAUACCUGGGGUCGAUGACGGUACCGGAAGAAUAAGGACCGGCUAACUACGUGCCAGCAGCCGCGGUAAUACGUAGGGUCCAAGCGUUAAUCGGAAUUACUGGGCGUAAAGCGUGCGCAGGCGGUUGUGCAAGACCGAUGUGAAACCCCCGAGCUUAACUUGGGAAUUGCAUUGGUGACUGCACGGCUAGAGUGUGUCAGAGGGGGGUAGAAUUCCACGUGUAGCAGUGAAAUGCGUAGAGAUGUGGAGGAAUACCGAUGGCGAAGGCAGCCCCCUGGGAUAACACUGACGCUCAUGCACGAAAGCGUGGGGAGCAAACAGG
rnacentral:rRNA from 1 species